GCGGUCGCCGCGCUCGCGUGUUUGCGGAGUGCGCCUGGAGGGGGCGCUGGAGUAUGUGUGUGCCGGGGCGGGGUGGCUUCCGGGCACGAGUUGCUGACAGCGCCUCGCGGUUGAUAAAUCCUGAGGGCGGCGGCUACCCUGCACUCCAUCGGUGCCUUUGGGAAGCGCCGCCUUCUCUGUUGUACCCGGCCGUGGGUCAGGUCGGCGCGGCUGGCGGUGGAGUCUCGGACACCGAGCCCUGGACCCCGACUCUGGAAGCCCCCAGCCCCACUGGGCCGCGGCAGGGCGCCCACCCUCCACAAUCUCAGUUCCCAGCCGGGGAGUGAGGGGCUGGGCGGGUCUCUCCACCGCUUUGGAGACCUCAGGACUUGGAUACGCUUUUGAGUGGUCCCAGUCGUCCUGAUCCACGAAGGCGUGGAGUGGAAGUCAGGACCAGGGGUCGCCCCAGUGACGCAGGAAGUCAAGCCCAGAUGCGGUGAGGCGUCGCCAGCCUUGGACCCAGCAGUGGGCGCUGGUGACAGUGGCGACCUCGCCGAUGAGAGGUUCGCCCUCCCUAGCAUUAGUUGUCACUUUGGUGAAAUGGAGCGUGGGUGGCAGCUCCUCCACACACAAGCCCUUUGCUGAGGUGGUGCGGGGGGUUCUCUCCACGCUUGCUAAGGGCAGGUAGUUGGCUGACUUUGAACUAUGAAGAAAAGCCAGAAACAAAAUGGCAGAAUGGUAUGACUCUGGGUGGGCUUAGGGACGCUGGUGCCAGAGGACUUGGCUUGAACCCGCUCCAACACUUACAACCUGAGUGACCGUGAGAAAGAACUGUAACUCCUCUAAACUUCAAGUUCCUCACUUCUCAAAUAAGAACGUGAAUAGUACCUCCCUCCUAGAGUUGUGAGGAUUGAGUUAGAAAAUGCUAGCAAUUGUUAUGCCCUAAGGAACAGCACAAGAUACAAUAACACGUGAUAAUGUGUGUCGAAGGUGCAGAAAUGCAGUCGCUGCCGUGAGAAUUUCUCAUUCAUUCACUGAAUUAACAUUUGCCGAAAACCCCCACGUAUCGACCUGUGCUGGAUGCUGGAGAUGCUGCAAUGACUGCUGUCACAGGCAUUGUCCCUGUGGUUACAGGGCCCAGCAGGAAAGACAAAUGAGAAGCAAGGGAUUGCAAUGCAGUGUGAUGAAUAAGGAACGCAUAGGGGGUGGGAGGAGUGCUGUAGAGAUGGCUGACCUAGAGUCAGGGAAGACCCUCUACCUUGAAACCUGAAAAUGAGAAAGGAUCCCUCAAAUGCAGGGAUAGAUGGACAGAGAAAAAAGUACAUAAGGAAGGCUCUGCAGAUGAGCAAGUUAAGUAUAGCUGAGCUGGAAUGGUAGGAAGAGCGCAGGGAGAUCAGGCUGGAAAGGGUCUUGCUCUGCUGCUGACACUGGCCUUGAGCUGCUGGUCUCAAGCGAUCCUCCAGCCUCAGCCUCCUGAGUUGGGAUUACAGGCACAAGCCACAGUGCUCGACUUUUUAUUUAAUCUUGUUAGAAGACAAGACAGAAACAUGUCCGUUGUGAAAACAAGCCAGAAAGUGAUCCGCUGCCAGCGACAGGGAGACACACAACUGGUCCUUAUUCUAAAGACCCGACCCAGCCUGGAAUGGGGCCCGGCGAGGAGUUCUUGCGCCGGCCGCGGGGACUGGGCGGUAAUGAGCCGCUAGUCUCGGAAGGUGGUGCUGUUGGGUGUGAGGGGAGAUCCGGCUUGCGCUGAAACAGCGAGCGGCGUGCAAGGAGGAAGCCGCGAUUUCCAAGGCGGAUUCCCUUCGCUGGGACACAACUCUUGAGAAUAAGACUUAUAAGGACUCUGAGAGUUUGAGGCAGAGGCAGAACGGCUCUGGGCUGAGUGAUGGGGAGGAUACCAGCACUCAGCGCGGGUGGCGGGCGCGGGGCCGAGCGCGCGCAUCCAGGGACGCCUUGGGGACGGGACGCGGAGAAAAGUUGCCGGGCGGAGAGAAAGGGUGGCGCUGGAAACCAAAUGGCUUUCAUCCCCUGGAGACAAAGAGGUGCCUUCUUUUGACAACAGCUGCCAGUGACACACACACCAUACGGCGGGGCCGGCGGGGGAGGGGAGCCCGGGAGGAGAGCGUCUAAGGCGGGGACCGGCACUGACUUUCAAUAAUGGGGUGGUUGCCAUGGUGACGGGCCAGGCAUCUAAAGGGGCGGCUGAAAGCACCCAUUGUUCUGGGGCCCGGCUGCUCGGGUUGUGCCUGUUCCUAAGAGACACCUUUAGACACCUCCCUCCGUGCAGGGGCGAGCUGCGGCCCGGGGCUGGGAGCGUCUCCGCGGGAGUUUCACACCAGGGCCCCAGGCCGCAGAUCGCAGCGCCGCCUUGGCUGCACGCGCGCUGCAUACGGAGGGCAGCGCCGCCUCCCACGCACUAUCCGCCCGAAAUCCGAGCGCGACGCGCGCCCGCCUGGGCCCAGACGCGCAGGCCGGGACACGCAGCUCCGCCUGCUCCCCGCUGUCCCGGGGAGACUUCGAAUAACAAUGCGGAGCAGGACCCGGUGACUCCACAAAUAACUCGCUGAGGUCUGGGGCGAGGGCACUCGGGAAAACCCCGCAGUCACUUUGCAGUCGUGCUGGAAGGAAAAGCAGAACGGAAUCACAGGAUAAAGAAGAUUAAAAGUAACAGGGCAGCGUUGCAAUGUUGCUUGUAAGAGCAAGCAGCUGGAAACAACCUAAAAGCCCGUCCCUGGGGGCUGGGUGAAUGAUAUGGGGCGCAUCCCUCUGAGGGAACACUAAGCUGCCAUUAAAGAGUACAGGGCAGCUGUAUUUGCUGAGACGUGGAAAUUUUCCGGUGUAUUCUAAGUAAUAAAGUGCAGAAGAGUGUGAGUAGGGCUGUGUGUAUGUGGUAUGUGUGUUUGCAUCUCUGGAAGUGGUUGCUUCUUAGGAUGGUCACUGUGGGACUAGGAGUGGAGGAGAGAAAGAAAACUUGCUUUUCACCGUACUAGAAUCUUCUGCACCUUUUGAAUUUUGCCGUUUAUACUAUGUCUUUACCUGUAAAGAAAAAAGAACUUUGAAAUAAAGUUGCAUUUGCUUGAACACUGUCUAAUGAGAUGUGCCACUCUCCAUAAAGCAUCUGAACUCAUUUUUAGUGCUUUAAUAAAUAUUAAUUUUUAAAAUAUAUAUGCACAAAUGCUAUUAGCCCACAGAUAUGUAAAGGUAGUGACAGUGGCAAGUUAGAGAUGAAAAGAUACACUUCUUUCCUGCCUUCCUGUGGUGCCGAGACGGACGGAGCCAGCUGUCAUUCAAGGAGCCUGCUGUAUAACCCAUCUAUUAUUAUAUCACAUUAAUCAUAGGGAUCUCACAUUAAACAAACAUGACAUUAGGGAAAUUUUCCUAGUUACAAAAUGGUAUAUAAUCAGUGAAAUGGACUAUUG
rnacentral:lncRNA from 1 species